rnacentral:rRNA from 1 species
UUAAGCGACUAAGCGUACACGGUGGAUGCCCUGGCAGUCAGAGGCGAUGAAGGGCGUGCUAAUCUGCGAUAAGCGCCGGUAAGGUGAUAUGAACCGUUAUAACCGGCGAUACCCGAAUGGGGAAACCCAGUGUGAUUCGUCACACUAUCAUUAACUGAAUCCAUAGGUUAAUGAGGCGAACCGGGGGAACUGAAACAUCUAAGUACCCCGAGGAAAAGAAAUCAACCGAGAUUCCCCCAGUAGCGGCGAGCGAACGGGGAGGAGCCCAGAGCCUGAAUCAGCAUGUGUGUUAGUGGAAGCGUCUGGAAAGGCGCGCGAUACAGGGUGACAGCCCCGUACACAAAAGCGCAUGUGCUGUGAGCUCGAUGAGUAGGGCGGGACACGUGGUAUCCUGUCUGAAUAUGGGGGGACCAUCCUCCAAGGCUAAAUACUCCUGACUGACCGAUAGUGAACCAGUACCGUGAGGGAAAGGCGAAAAGAACCCCGGCGAGGGGAGUGAAAAAGAACCUGAAACCGUGUACGUACAAGCAGUGGGAGCCCCACCACCAAAGCGUUUCGCUUUGUGUGGUGCACAAAGAAGCGUAACGACAGCACUGAAUGACGGUUAACGGAGCGCAAGCGACGUUCAACAUACAAAGUCAAGCAGUGGAGCGCUUUGGGGUGGGGUGACUGCGUACCUUUUGUAUAAUGGGUCAGCGACUUAUAUUCUGUAGCAAGGUUAACCGAAUAGGGGAGCCGGAGGGAAACCGAGUCUUAACCGGGCGUUAAGUUGCAGGGUAUAGACCCGAAACCCGGUGAUCUAGCCAUGGGCAGGUUGAAGGUUGGGUAACACUAACUGGAGGACCGAACCGACUAAUGUUGAAAAAUUAGCGGAUGACCUGUGGCUGGGGGUGAAAGGCCAAUCAAACCGGGAGAUAGCUGGUUCUCCCCGAAAGCUAUUUAGGUAGCGCCUCGUGAAUUCAUCUCCGGGGGUAGAGCACUGUUUCGGCUAGGGGGCCAUCCCGGCUUACCAACCCGAUGCAAACUGCGAAUACCGGAGAAUGUUAUCACGGGAGACACACGGCGGGUGCUAACGUCCGUCGUGAAGAGGGAAACAACCCAGACCGCCAGCUAAGGUCCCAAAGUCAUGGUUAAGUGGGAAACGAUGUGGGAAGGCCCAGACAGCCAGGAUGUUGGCUUAGAAGCAGCCAUCAUUUAAAGAAAGCGUAAUAGCUCACUGGUCGAGUCGGCCUGCGCGGAAGAUGUAACGGGGCUAAACCAUGCACCGAAGCUGCGGCAGCGACGCUUAUGCGUUGUUGGGUAGGGGAGCGUUCUGUAAGCCUGUGAAGGUGGCCUGUGAGGGUUGCUGGAGGUAUCAGAAGUGCGAAUGCUGACAUAAGUAACGAUAAAGCGGGUGAAAAGCCCGCUCGCCGGAAGACCAAGGGUUCCUGUCCAACGUUAAUCGGGGCAGGGUGAGUCGACCCCUAAGGCGAGGCCGAAAGGCGUAGUCGAUGGGAAACGGGUUAAUAUUCCCGUACUUGGUGUUACUGCGAAGGGGGGACGGAGAAGGCUAUGUUGGCCGGGCGACGGUUGUCCCGGUUUAAGCGUGUAGGUGUGUGUUCCAGGUAAAUCCGGUUCACUUUAACACUGAGGCGUGACGACGAGGCACUACGGUGCUGAAGCAACAAAUGCCCUGCUUCCAGGAAAAGCCUCUAAGCAUCAGGUAACAUCAAAUCGUACCCCAAACCGACACAGGUGGUCAGGUAGAGAAUACCAAGGCGCUUGAGAGAACUCGGGUGAAGGAACUAGGCAAAAUGGUGCCGUAACUUCGGGAGAAGGCACGCUGACACGUAGGUGAAGUGAUUUACUCAUGGAGCUGAAGUCAGUCGAAGAUACCAGCUGGCUGCAACUGUUUAUUAAAAACACAGCACUGUGCAAACACGAAAGUGGACGUAUACGGUGUGACGCCUGCCCGGUGCCGGAAGGUUAAUUGAUGGGGUCAGCGCAAGCGAAGCUCCUGAUCGAAGCCCCGGUAAACGGCGGCCGUAACUAUAACGGUCCUAAGGUAGCGAAAUUCCUUGUCGGGUAAGUUCCGACCUGCACGAAUGGCGUAAUGAUGGCCAGGCUGUCUCCACCCGAGACUCAGUGAAAUUGAACUCGCUGUGAAGAUGCAGUGUACCCGCGGCAAGACGGAAAGACCCCGUGAACCUUUACUAUAGCUUGACACUGAACAUUGAGCCUUGAUGUGUAGGAUAGGUGGGAGGCUUUGAAGCGUGGACGCCAGUCUGCGUGGAGCCGACCUUGAAAUACCACCCUUUAAUGUUUGAUGUUCUAACGUGGACCCGUUACCCGGGUUGCGGACAGUGUCUGGUGGGUAGUUUGACUGGGGCGGUCUCCUCCUAAAGAGUAACGGAGGAGCACGAAGGUUGGCUAAUCCUGGUCGGACAUCAGGAGGUUAGUGCAAUGGCAUAAGCCAGCUUGACUGCGAGCGUGACGGCGCGAGCAGGUGCGAAAGCAGGUCAUAGUGAUCCGGUGGUUCUGAAUGGAAGGGCCAUCGCUCAACGGAUAAAAGGUACUCCGGGGAUAACAGGCUGAUACCGCCCAAGAGUUCAUAUCGACGGCGGUGUUUGGCACCUCGAUGUCGGCUCAUCACAUCCUGGGGCUGAAGUAGGUCCCAAGGGUAUGGCUGUUCGCCAUUUAAAGUGGUACGCGAGCUGGGUUUAGAACGUCGUGAGACAGUUCGGUCCCUAUCUGCCGUGGGCGCUGGAGAACUGAGGGGGGCUGCUCCUAGUACGAGAGGACCGGAGUGGACGCAUCACUGGUGUUCGGGUUGUCAUGCCAAUGGCACUGCCCGGUAGCUAAAUGCGGAAGAGAUAAGUGCUGAAAGCAUCUAAGCACGAAACUUGCCCCGAGAUGAGUUCUCCCUGAGACUUAGAGUCUCCUGAAGGAACGUUGAAGACGACGACGUUGAUAGGCCGGGUGUGUAAGCGCAGCGAUGCGUUGAGCUAACCGGUACUAAUGAACCGUGAGGCUUAACCUU